UACGUAGGGAGCGAGCGUUGUCCGGAAUAACUGGGCGUAAAGGGAGCGUAGGUGGCGAUUUAAGUUAAAUGUGAAAGCCCGGGGCUCAACCCCGGAAGGUCAUUUAAUACUGGAUUGCUAGAGUGCAGAAGAGGUAAGCGGAAUUCCUAGUGUAGCGGUUAAAUGUGUAGAUAUUAGGAGGAACACCAGAGGCGAAGGCGGCUUGCUGGUCUGUAACUGACACUGAGGCUCGAAAGCGUGGGGAGCAAACAGG
rnacentral:rRNA from 1 species